UACGAAGGGGGCUAGCGUUGUUCGGAAUUACUGGGCGUAAAGCGUGCGUAGGCGGUGGUCCAAGUCUGGUGUGAAAUCUCCCGGCUCAACUGGGAGGGUGCGCCGGAAACUGGGCCGCUGGAGUACGGGAGAGGCAAGCGGAAUUCCAGGUGUAGCGGUGAAAUGCGUAGAUAUCUGGAGGAACACCCGUGGUGCAGACGGCUUGCUGGACCGUGACUGACGCUGAGGCACGAAAGCGUGGGUAGCAAACAGG
rnacentral:rRNA from 1 species